GAUGAAGAACGCAGCGAAAUGCGAUAAGUAGUGUGAAUUGCAGAAUUCCGUGAAUCAUCGAAUCUUUGAACGCACAUUGCGCCUCCUGGUAGUCCGGGAGGCAUGCCUGUUCGAGCGUCACCAAAUCCAACUCAAGCGGUUUUGCGCUUGGUCGUGGCGGAAGAGUCGGUCUGGUUGCCGUCUCCCCUCCGAAAAUCAACGGCGGAAAGUCACUGGCAGUCAGCGUAGUAGUAUCGUUCGCCGAACAUCCAGUGGCAUUCCUGCCGCCGUACCCCCACAAUUCUCGUGAUUGACCUCGGAUCAGGUAGGGAUACCCGCUGAACUUAAGCAUAUCAAUAAGCGGAGGA
rnacentral:misc_RNA from 1 species